UACGAAGGGGGCUAGCGUUGCUCGGAAUCACUGGGCGUAAAGGGUGCGUAGGCGGGUCUUUUAAGUCAGGGGUGAAAUCCUGGAGCUCAACUCCAGAACUGCCUUUGAUACUGAGGAUCUUGAGUACGGGAGAGGUGAGUGGAACUGCGAGUGUAGAGGUGAAAUUCGUAGAUAUUCGCAAGAACACCAGUGGCGAAGGCGCUCACUGGCCCGUUACUGACGCUGAGGCGCGAAAGCCAGGGGAGCAAAGCAGG
rnacentral:rRNA from 1 species